ACCGAGCGGGGCGUCCGGCCAGUCAUCAGCGUUCUCGUUGUCCGCGUCCCUAUAACCCACACACAAUCCAAUGUCUACGUCUGCGUCCACGUCCACGUCCACUUUGCCUGCUUCUUCGCCUUCUUCGCUUCUUUACGCGAUUUAAGUCUUACAGUUAUUUCUGUUCACUCUAUAAUAACGGUUGUUUGCGUGCUGCGUGUGCGAAAGGGAGGAAACGAUUAUUUAAUUUACUAGCAGUGCCCCCGCGUGUGAGAACGUACAGCCGCUGUGUGUCCCCGUGUGUGUGUGUGUGUGUGUGAAGCCGCAUCGACAUUCCAGAUAUUAUACAAUAUGCCCAAGUGAAGGAGAUUUGAAGUUUGCAGUUUUUAGUGGAAAGCAGAAACAAAGGUCAAGCCGCGGAGUGGAGCGAUUGCCUCUCUGCCUGGACCUCGCACUCUCACUCUCACUCUCUUUACCCGAUCCAACGGUGCAUUCGCAUUCUCUCUUCUAAAGUUCUGCUCGCGCGCUCGCUCUCCCGCUGCUCGGCUGCUCUCUUUCUUCCGUUAUCAGUAGUGCAUCUGUAGCAACAAAAACAACAUAGGCAAAAUGGGUUGCACCGGCGGCUAUUUGUCGGAGGCUCAUUUGCGGGGCUUCGAGCGUUACAAGUACAACUGCAUAGACACGGGCUUUGUCAGCGUCUAUAUAAUGCAUCCAUUCUGGAACUAUUGUGUAAAGUUCCUGCCCAAAUGGCUUGCGCCCAAUCUGCUCACCUUUGUGGGCUUCCUCAUGACUGUCGUGAACUUUAUUCUGAUCUCCUACUACGACUGGGACUUUAAGGCCGCCAAUGACAAGGAGAUUGGCAAUACAGUGCCCGCCUGGGUGUGGACUGUGGCAGCCAUAAAUAUAUUAAUUUACUACAAUUUGGAUGGCAUGGAUGGCAAACAGGCGCGUCGCACGGGCACUAGUGGACCUCUGGGGGAGCUGUUCGAUCAUGGAUUGGACUCCUAUUCCGCUGCACUGAUACCCAUUUAUGUAUUCUCACUAUUUGGCACACAAGACCUGCCGCCCAUACGCAUGUUCUUUGUGAUAUGGAACGUUUUUCUCAAUUUCUAUUUGACGCAUGUGGAAAAGUACAAUACGGGCGUGAUGUUUCUGCCUUGGGGCUAUGACUUCACCAUGUGGGGCGUCAGUGGCAUACUGUUUGUGGCCACAGUUUUUGGUCCCGACAUCUAUCGUUUCAGCAUGUAUGGCAUUACGAUUGCCAAUGUCUUUGAGUUUACUUUGAUUGGUUCUGGCAUGGUUUCAAGUCAUCCCAUUAUAGCCAGAAAUAUCUAUCUUUCCUACAAAAACAAGACUGGCAAAAUGCGUCCCAUGUGGGAGAUGUUGCGCCCCUUCUUUGCCUUUCUCUGGCUGUUUGUGAUCACCCUCAUCUGGUCGUUCUGCUCACGCAAUGAUGUCAUCAAUCUAGAGCCGCGCAUACUCUGGAUACUCUAUGGCACUAUAUUCUCCAACAUUGCAUGCCGUUUGAUUGUGGCUCAAAUGUCGGACACACGCUGCGAUGGCUUCAAUGUGCUCAUGUGGCCAUUGGCAGCCACUGUGGCUGUCUGCUGUUUUCCCUACUACGAGCAGGUCUUUGGCAUGGAUCUCACAGCAGAUGGAGAGCGUUGGAUAGUGCAGGGAUUGACCAUAUUCUCGACACUAGCCCACUGGCAUUAUGGCUAUGGUGUGGUCUCUGAAAUGUGCAAUCACUUUCAUAUUAGAUGCUUCAAAGUAAGACAAACUGGCAGCCAAAUGGCGGCAGAUCCACAAUCACAACAGUCCCUCCUGCAGAACAAUAACAAAACGAAGUUCCAUUGAAACUAAUUCGCUAACUAACAAAAAUUCAAGAAAAAACAUCAUCAACGACAAGGCCACAAAACAAAUCAACCAACCAAUCAACCAUCUUGUGAUAUAUAUAGAUAUUUAAAUGGGAAAACAUUUAACUUUAUACCUCGCCAUCGCCUCGGCCAUGUUCAAGUCCAAGUCCAAGUCUAGGUCUAAGUGAAUCCAUACACAAAUUCCAAAACACUUAACCGAUACUCCUCCUACUCCUCUCUCUACUUCUACUACUACUCAUGCGGUGUGCAUAUAUUACGUGAUCACAAAACAAGCGACUGUCGACGCGGAGCAGGAACUGCAGGCGGAAGAGGAGCAGCUGUCAGCCAAAGCCCUUGAGCCCACGGCAGCCGAAAACGUUGAAGAAGUCUAAGCCCUAACAGUCGAUUCACU